rnacentral:rRNA from 1 species
UGGGGAAUAUUGGGCAAUGGGGGAAACCCUGACCCAGCGACGCCGCGUGAGGGAAGACGGCCUUCGGGUUGUAGACCUCUUUUGUACGGGAAGAAGGAAGUGACGGUACUGUACGAAUAAGUCCCGGCUAACUACGUGCCAGCAGCCGCGGUAAUACGUAGGGGACGAGCGUUGUCCGGAAUUACUGGGCGUAAAGGGCGCGCAGGCUGUGCUGCAAGUCAGCUGUGAAAUGUCUGGGCUUAACCCGGGGAUGCGGUUGAGACUGCAGUGCUGGAGUGCUGUAGAGGCAAGUGGAAUUCCCAGUGUAGCGGUGAAAUGCGUAGAUAUUGGGAAGAACACCGGUGGCGAAGGCGACUUGCUGGGCAGCAACUGACGCUGAGGCGCGAAAGCCAGGGGAGCAAACGG